rnacentral:rRNA from 1 species
UACGAAAGGGGCUAGCGUUGUUCGGAAUUACUGGGCGUAAAGCGCACGUAGGCGGCCUUGUAAGAUGGGGGUGAAAGCCCUGGGCUCAACCCAGGAAAUGCCUCCAAUACUGCAAGGCUCGAGGUCGGGAGAGGUGAGUGGAAUUCCGAGUGUAGAGGUGAAAUUCGUAGAUAUUAGGAAGAACACCAGUGGCGAAGGCGGCUCACUGGCCCGAUACUGACGCUGAGGUGCGAAAGCGUGGGGAGCAAACAGG